CGAGUGGAGCCUGAAGCCAGAACCAGGCAUGGGGUGGCCCAGAUGGAUUUAUUCCAGAGCCCGGCCUUCUUCCUGCAGGCCUGAGGGACACUGUGGCUGGCUCAGGGCAUAAGGCUGCCCCAAACAGAGGGAGGGGCCUCUCUCUGCCUGGUGCCCCCUCCACUCUCAAGGCUCAGUGCAACUAAGAAAUGAGCUCUCUUGCCUCACUGCUGGGGCUGCCUUUGAUUUCAUGGGGAAUAAGGAAGGGGCCCAGGAGGACAGGAUCCCAGGUGGUGGAUUCUGUGACUGAUGAGACCCCUCCGGCUCCCCAGGACUGGCCAGCAAGAGGAAAGCUCGUGUUGCUUAUGGGGUGGAAGCCAGGAGCUGCAGGCCUGGGAAGGGGCUGAUAAGGGGCUGCUCUCACUGCUCAGGGGACAAUGAGCUUAGUGUGGGAGGGCUGGGCUGUUGCUUUCCCUCAGGGCUCCCAAGAGAGGUUUCUAUGGCACCCGGAAGCUGACUUGGCCACAAGCGUCAAUGGAGACAUUGUGUGGGGGUUCUUGAGCCCCACCUCUCUCACGGGGUGGGGAGGAGGGAGAGCGAGGCAGGGGAGCCUUCCCUCUGGUCCUGCAGAUGCCCCUGUGUACUGUGCUAUGAGAUGGGACUGGGGCCUCUGAAGAUGCCCACCUCCUUCCUCUUCUUCAGGAAAGGGUGGAGCCACUGGGGGCCUUCCCAGAGCAGACACUAUAUGUGAUCCUGAAUCCAGGCAUGUGUUCCUCAGGAGUUGCUCACCCGGGGGAGGGAGGCAGACAGGUGACACGUGCCCUCUUUGUGCCUUUUUCCCACACUGAAACCAAUAGGUUGUGUCUCUCCUCUACCAAUUCACCUGUAGGAAUGACAAGACUCAGCCAGGGUGACAAAGUGAGACCUUGUCUCUAAAUUAAUUAAUUAAUUUAGCUUGGAGACUCUUGCAUGCCUCACCUAAACACUGGUCAAUCCAUGGGUUGGCCAGUGCCCCUUGACCUGGGUAGCUUGGGUCAGACAAGUGAGUGGGGUCAUGACACUCUCCCUCUCAGGAAUGUGGCCUCCAAGACUCAGAGGGAAAUUGCCUCUGGUGGAGACACUGGUUCCACUCGGACUGGGCAUGGUGCUACCCAGACUCCUCCAGGACUGAAGGGCCUGCACUCCAGUGGUCGUCCCUCAGCUCAGCCCUCUUUGGGAGCAAUUCAGCCCAAAUCCAAUGACUGGUCAAUAUAGAGGCAUAAAGGCCAGGUACUCUUGUCCCAACUCAAGGCAGCUCUCAGCGUUCAGCCCAGCUCCAGAGCUCCUCCAGUGCUGGGCCAAGGUCUUUGCUGGGACUGUAUCACAGCCCAGUUUCUGCCACCGCCACUCCCUCCUUCUCCUUGUGUGUCCUGACUCUGGGGCACACAAUAAGUGGUCUGCCCACCUAUGUCCAUCUUAGAGUGUUUUCCAGGGGACAGGAAAGAUGCCACAGGGAGGGCAGGAAAGAGGAUGCAUAGUUAGACCUCUCACAGGUCUGCCCCUUCUGUCCCAGCUGAGUCCUGCCUCUUCUGCAGAGGGUGGGGUGGAAGCAGUUCCUCCACCCCCACCUCUGACCUUCCUGCAUGUCUGUCCUAGAGAACGUUUGCCCAGCUCUCAGGGUCUCCAAAGGAAGAAGUCAAAUAAGUCACAGAGAAGCAAGGCCAGACAUGAUAUUUCCUCUCUGGGCCUUAGUUUCUUCAUCUAUAAAAUGGAUCACUGCCACUUACUUCAUAGAAUUUAGGGGAAGAUCCAGAAAAAGAACAUAAAGCCACUAGUUUAAGGCUUUCUUAUUCUGCUGGGUCUGAAGUCAGUCAUCGAUGGGCUAGAAAAACAAAAGAGCCCCAAUGAUCGUCAUGUACAGUCCCAAAGAUUCCCAGGACAAUGGCCAUCCACUUCACCAUUUCCCCUGGGGUGAGUGUGCUUAAGGACUCAAACACUACCAGUGACUCUCCUUGACAGAUGGUAUCAUCCAUGCCAGGUGGCGCCCCAAGCCCUCUUUGUCCUCCUUGUGCCCACUCAUGUUGCAGAGAAACAACUGGAGGUCAGGGAGACUCGGCCGGGGUCACACAGCUGGUACACUGUGGAGCCAGUCCCGCCCAGGGUGCGAGACCCCCAAGCUUUGGUUUGGGGAGAGCCACUGCUCUCACUUCCUCCCCAUUGCAAAAGGGACUCAAGGUGGGAAUCAGGGUCAGCUGCACCCUGAGAGGAACUUACCUGAUUUGCAGCCAGGGAUGCUCCUCUCAUCUUUUGGGGAACUAUUGAGAAGGGAAAGACGUGCCCAAUUUCCCAGGAUUUCUCUGAAUUCCUGGAUAUUUACUCCUCAGAUUCCACAUCUGGGGAACGCAGUGAUGUGCUGAAGCUAGCUCAUACCAGCUCAAAAAAGCUGACCAUGCUCCUCUCCUCACAGUUCCACGUCCACACCUUCAUGUUGGUCACCAUGGUGGGAGUAGGGACACCAUGAGAACUGGCAAUUCUACCCAUCAGGGAUUUGAGGGCUUUUGUUUUCAGGGAGCUGUAGUUACACACUGCCCAGCACACCCCUGGGUGGGUUCCUUAGGACCCCUAGGGAAGUAGUCCCAGCUACUUAGGAGGCUGAGGUGGGAGGAUCCAUCGAGCUCGGGAGGUCGAGGCUGCGAGUGAGCUGUGAUUGUGCCACUGCAUGCCAGUCUGGGCAACAGAGCAAGACCCUGUCUCAAAAAAAAAAUAUAUAUAUAUAUUCUCUUUACUAUACAUGUUACACUUAAGUUUUUUGAAGGAAGAAAAACAGCAUUUUCUUCUGAAGUUACUCACAUUUUAGUGGGGAUAGAGGGCAAUAAUGGCACUGGCUCCAAUGAUAAGAGUUUUAUUAGCUUUUCUAGUUUUUUGCUAGUUUUUCUAGAGGGCCCAGGGGAGCCUGGGAGAUACCCUUUGGGCUGUGGGGUUUCAUUUUGGUCACAUGUCUCAUUUCUGCCUCUGAUUCUCCUAGUUCUCAGAACCACUAAUAUUCUGCCCCACGUGCUAGGAUCUGUUUUUAGAACUUCCUCUUGACAGCACUACUCCUAUCUUGUGUCCACAGAAGGGGAUCCUGACUCAGCACAGGGUUCUCGGGUGUGCCGAUCCUGGGCUGGGCCUCUUGAAGACCUAUGUGGCCCUUGAGCCCUCGGCUUACUUUUUUUUUUUUUUUUUUUGAGAUGGAGUCUCGCUCUGUCACCCAGGAUGGAGUGCAGUGGCGCGAUCCGGGCUCACUGCAAACUCUGCCUCCCGGGUUCAAGUGAUUUUCCUGCCUUAGCUUCCCAAUAUCUGGGAUUACAGGUGCCCCCCCACCACGCCCAGCUAAUUUUUGUAUUUUUAGUAGAGAUAGGGUUUCACCAUGUUGGUCAGGCUGGUCUGGAACUACUGACCUCAACUGUUGCAUCCACCGUGGCCUCCCAAAGUGCUGUAAUUACAGGCAUGAGCCACCACGCCCGGCCCCUCAGCUUACUUUUUUUAAAAUUUUUAAAUUUAUUUUUAUUUUUUUUGAGAUGGAGUCUUGCUCUGUCGCCCAGGCUGGAGUGCAGUGGCAUGAUCUCAGCUCACUGCAACCUCCACCUCCCGGGUUCAAGUGAUUCUCCUAGCUCAGCCUCACGAGUAGCUGGGACUACAGGCACGUGCCACUGCGUCUGGCUAAUUUUUUGUAUUUUUAGUGGAGAGGGGGUUUCACCGUGUUAGCCAGGAUGGUCUCGAUCGCCUGACCUUGUGAUCCACCUGCCUCAACCUCCCAAAGUGCCCCUCAGCUUACUUUUAAAGACCUUGUUCCAAUAACACAUCAAACAGCCCACACUGAGUAUAGGACACAAGCAACUUGUUAUUUCUUGGCAAUCCCCACACACUCCUCAAGAAUUCUUGCAAAGGAGGAAAUGCUACUUUCAAUUUGUUUUGCAAAUGUAAUGAAAUUUUUAAAAAUACUGAAUGUAUCAAUUAAGGAAGCUGACUUAGUGUUCCACUUUGCAGGCAUUUAAUUAAACAUUUAUUCACUUUGA